rnacentral:rRNA from 1 species
CCUACGGGGAGCAGCAGUGAGGAAUAUUGGUCAAUGGACGCAAGUCUGAACCAGCCAUGCCGCGUGCAGGAAGACGGCUCUAUGAGUUGUAAACUGCUUUUGUACGAGGGUAAACGCAGAUACGCGUAUCUGUCUGAAAGUAUCGUACGAAUAAGGAUCGGCUAACUCCGUGCCAGCAGCCGCGGGAAUUCGGAGGAUUCAAAGGUUAUCCGGAUUUAUUGGGGUUAAAGGGUGCGUAGGCGGGCGGAUAAGUUAGAGGGGAAAUCCCGAGGCUCAAAUUCGGAAUUGCCUUUGAUACUGGUCGGCUUGAGAGUAGUUGAGGUAGGCGGAAGGUAUGGUGUAGCGGUGAAAUGCUUAGAGAUCAUACAGAACACCGAUUGCGAAGGCAGCUUACCAAGCUACUUCUGACGUUGAGGCACGAAAGCGUGGGGAGCAAACAGGAUUAGAUACCCUAGUAGUC